rnacentral:rRNA from 1 species
UACGUAGGGCGCGAGCGUUGUCCGGAAUUAUUGGGCGUAAAGAGCUCGUAGGCGGCCUGUCGCGUCAAUUGUGAAAGCCCGGGGCUUAACCCCGGGUCUGCAGUCGAUACGGGCAGGCUAGAGUGUGGUAGGGGAGAUUGGAAUUCCUGGUGUAGCGGUGGAAUGCGCAGAUAUCAGGAGGAACACCGAUGGCGAAGGCAGAUCUCUGGGCCGUAACUGACGCUGAGGAGCGAAAGCAUGGGGAGCGAACAGG